AUUGAACGCUGGCGGAAUGCUUUACACAUGCAAGUCGAACGGUAGAGGGGGCAACCCCUUGAGAGUGGGGGGGCAACGGGUGAGUAAUAUAUCGGAACGUGCCCAGUCGUGGGGAUAACGUAGCGAAAGUUACGCUAAUACCGCAUACGAUCUAUGGAUGAAAGCGGGGGAUCGCAAGACCUCGCGCGAUUGGAGCGGCCGAUAUCAGAUUAGGUAGUUGGUGAGGUAAAGGCUCACCAAGCCGACGAUCUGUAGCUGGUCUGAGAGGACGACCAGCCACACUGGGACUGAGACACGGCCCAGACUCCUACGGGAGGCAGCAGUGGGAAUUUUGGACGAAUGGGCGCAAGCCUGAUCCAGCAAUGCCGCGUGCAGGAUGAAGGCC
rnacentral:rRNA from 1 species